rnacentral:snRNA from 1 species
GUGCUCCCUUUGGCAGCAUAUAUGCUAAAAUUGAAACGAUACAGAGAAGAUUAGUAUGGCCCCUGUGCAUGCAUGACAUGAAAAUUCGUGAAGUGCUCUAUAUUUAA